rnacentral:rRNA from 1 species
UACGUAGGGACCAAGCGUUGUUCGGAUUUACUGGGCGUAAAGGGCGCGUAGGCGGCAAUUCAAGUCAGCUGUGAAAUCUCUGGGCUUAACCCAGAACGGCCAGCUGAUACUGCUUUGCUAGAGUGCAGAAGGGGCAAUCGGAAUUCUUGGUGUAGCGGUGAAAUGGCGUUAGAUAUCAAGGAGGAACACCCUGGAGGUGAAGACGGGUUGCUGGGCUGACACUGACGUGAGGCGCGAAAGCCAGGGGAGCAAACGGG